UUACCCACCGGCUGCAUCAUCAAAGGUGAAUGAGUAAAAGAAAGAAGAAAAUAAAUAGGAGAAAGAAAGGAAAUAGGGAGGAAAUAGGAGAAGAAACAAAAGAGAGAGGAGGCGUGCGUGUGUAAAGCAGCAACAGCUCUGCCACAGCCGCCCAACUCUACCAAUCCCCUUCUCCCUACACCCUACCCCUAUUCCUUAGCAGCUGCCAGCCGCCCCACUUCACCAAUCUGUUAGUCAAAGGUUCUACAAUUUUUUCAAGUUUGGCAGCAACUCUUUCCAUUUUUACUGCUUGCAGCAACAUUCCCUUUUGUCAACAUUUGCUGCCAACAACUCUUCCCAUAUAAUCUCAUUAUCAGCCAGCAACUCCCUCAUAUUUUCUUUCCUCGUGCGCUGUCAUUCAAAGGGGAGGAAUUGAUUCAGCUGCUGUCAAGCUGGAAGAGUAUUUCCCCACUGUAUUCAACAACGCCAACCAAAAGAACAAACAUUGCAAGGUUGAGCGCAAGAAUAAGAGCUCGUCAAGGAGUCACUAAUCUGUAGCAAAGCUUUGCUAUCAGGUUGAGCAGUAGACGAUGGUGAUGAAGUGACGAGUGGAAUCCUCUUUUGUCGCAAUAUUAUAUGCUAUGAAAAACUCUAGGGUUACAUGUCUUCAUACAUGUAAUCAGAACCUUAUUCCGCUGCGUACUCAGAAGUUUUAUGUUAUUUUGGCUAAGUCAGAGUUAUCUGAACUUAUUAGUUAUUUGAGUCUAUACGACUAAACCUCUGUUAUAUUAUAAAUAUCCCUUUUU